UAGGGAAUAUUAGAAAUGGACGAAAGUCUGAUCUAGCAACACCGCGUGUGCGAAGAAGGCCUUCGGGUUGUAAAGCACUUUUUGGAAGGAUUAGGAAGGAAUGUACUUCCAGAAUAAGUCUCGGCUAACUACGUGCCAGCAGCCGCGGUAACACGUAGGAGGCAAACGUUAUCCGGAUUUACUGGGCGUAAAGCGCGUGUAGGUGGUUCUGUAAGUAGGGCGUGAAAGCUCCUGGCUCAACUGGGAGAGGCCGUUCUAAACUACAGAACUAGAGGAUGGUAGAGGGAGGUGGAAUUCCAGGUGUAGCGGUGGAAUGCGCAGAUAUCUGGAGGAACACCAGUGGCGAAGGCGCCCAUCUGGACGGUAACUGACGCUGAGACGCGAAAGCGUGGGGAGCAAACA
rnacentral:rRNA from 1 species